GGCAAUGACUUAGCGAAUUUGUAAUCUAAAAUAUAUAGGAGACUGGCACCGAUCCACGCCCACUUUCGGAUCAUUCAAUUAAAACGCUUACGAAUUAUUAUUAUUACAAACAAUGUGUCGAGGGCCUGGAAAAGUGAUGCCAAUCUAGUUGGCUGCAGGAAGUGCCCAAAGUACCCAGAACAAUUCAAAAAUACCGAAUGACGGAAGUGGAGUUAACAAGCGUGGCGGACCCGAAAGUUCGUCGCCUAAGUCUUUCGUUUAGACAAAUGGACAGAACAUGGACUUUAAAAUUAAUUACUUAAUUUAACACAACAAGCGGCCGGCGACACCUUCCACGAUGAUGUUUCAGGCGACAACAACGGAAAGCACUAAACAUUCGUUCGACCCCAGGCCGAAACCUGUUGGCGAUCACUGUACAAUCACAGAGAGUCUGUGUAUCUCUGUGAGUAACUGUGAUCGGCGACGAUCCUGGGCUGGACGAGCGGGCUUAACAGAUUAGUUAGCAUAUCCCAUAUCAGGAACACUCUGCGAUAUGGCACGUCCCGGUCUUGAACUCCGCCGAGGAUGAGUUUCGAGUCAUUAAGUUUGUAGCCCUUGGAGAAGGGGGCUCUUGACAAUUUGCAUUAUGCUGGCGAUCGAUCAGUGAUCGGUGAAAUUUAACAGAUAAUGAACACCGGAUUGGGCACCCUCAGUAGGUGGGGGCAGGGGACUGCAGGGCGAAAAAAAAACUACAGAGAAACCCAAACUCAAUUAAAAUCCGAAAUAACUUCAAGACG